rnacentral:rRNA from 1 species
UACGUAGGGGGCAAGCGUUGUCCGGAUUUAUUGGGCGUAAAGAGCGCGCAGGCGGCCGUUCAAGUCGGGUGUGAAAGCCCCCGGCUCAACUGGGGAGGGUCACGCGAUACUGAUCGACUGGAAGGCAGGAGAGGGUAGUGGAAUUCCCGGUGUAGUGGUGAAAUGCGUAGAUAUCGGGAGGAACACCAGUGGCGAAGGCGACUACCUGGCCUGUUCUUGACGCUGAGGCGCGAAAGCUAGGGGAGUAAACGGG